GGCCGGGCGGGCCGGUCACACAGGCUCUUGGCAUUGCUAAGAGGAAAAGCUCUCUUGGGAGCCCCGCGCGGCUGGGACGGUGGUCGGGGGCGCGUGUCCUGCGUGUGUGCACCUUUCUCCAGAGCUGCUCCUCGCGGUGGCUGGGCCCGGCAGCCUGGCCUGAAGAGUUAGGCCGGGCUGUUCUCAUGGUCGACCACAACUGGCGGGAAGAGAGUAGCGGACGUGCUGUGUGAUCCGAGCCCCUCAGAUCCCUGGGUUUCGGGAAACCUGCUUGUCUGGAACUGUGGACAAACAUCAGGGCAGCCAGGAAAGGACGCGAUCCCAACGGACUUGCACGUGAGGGUCAGACUUGCCGUCAGGAGGCGGGGCGAGCGCGGUCGGCUGCUGCUUGCGUGUCUACCCCCUCACUGGGCAUGAGUUGGCUCGUUUGGAAGGCAGACAGACCACUUGUUUCCAACACCUUAAAUGGUCUGGUCGUGGAUCUUCGUGUCACGGGGGAGAUUUUACUGUAUUUUUUAUUUUUGAAAGAUUUUAUUUAUCUGAGAGAGAGAGAGAGAGGGAGCUUAGGCUGGGAAGUUUGCCUCUGUAGUGGCUUGAAGCGAGGCUGGGGAGCGACAGCUUUGGCGGGUCCGUCCCGACGUCGCUGCCCCGCCCCCGCGUCCCGCGGCUGGGAGAAAGCAGGUCUGUCUUCUAGAAAGACUCCACAGUCCACUCAUUCCCACCAGCAGCCGCGGCUCGGGGAGGAACUUGUCUCGCACAGGAGGAGGGAGCGGUACGAUCAUAAACUUGGAAUUCGCCAUCCCACACGUCAGAGGGCUUGGAAGGGAAUUCGUGGGCCACACAAAAUCUAAUCUCCAGGCAUCCGGCAGGAGCCGUAACUCGCUACGGCUGGGGCUCCGCGGCCCUUCGCAGACCCAGGCAUUCGCGGUAUGGGGUUUGUGCAAUAGAAGCCUUAAAUCAGUCCCUCUGUGCACUGAGAAGAUAGAAGGAUAUGCCCAGGGUCAUCCUUGCAGGGGGGAGGAGGAGGAGGAGGAAGGGACACACACAGUGUUUGGCUUCCAUCUGUAGCAGAUCGUAGCCCCGUUUUUUGAAGAGCCCCCUAGGUUUUUUACGAGCACUGGGUGUUUCUAGCCACUGAUUCCAGUAGAAGUCGUAUGUGAACCCGGGUCCGUGCACACUGACCACAGUGCGUAGCCAGGCCCACAGCGAAGCGAAACCAAACUGCAAGUGGGGAUGCUGUGUGUCCCCACGGCCCCAUUUAAAAGGUCUCCUUUGGGGGCCCCUGGGAGGCUCAGACAGUAAAACGUCUGCCUUCGGCUCAGGUCACGGGGUCAGGGGCCUGGGACCGAACCCGCACUGGGCUCCCUGCUCAGCACGGAGCUGCUUCUCCUUCCCCCGGCUCCCUGCUCGUUUUCUCUCUGUCUCUCUCGGGACUCCCCGUGAUGGGAUGUGAGCACAGAAAGACGAUCGCCGCUUCGGCCCAUGGGCACAGGAGAGGCCGCAGGCCGGCCGCCCAGAGCUGCCCUCUAGGGACAAGGUCAGCCCAGUUUUAGAUUUGUAGCAAAAUGGAGCCGAAGGAAGAGAGCUAGCCCGCGUGCCCGCUCCCCGACCCAGGCACCGCCGCCCCCGCCGUCAGCACCCCGGCCCGAGGGCAGCCCUGCAUGGAUGUCGGGUGAUGUCAUCGCCCGAAGGCCAGAGCUUACCGCGGGACUUACUCUGGGCGUUGGGCACGUUACGCUUCCGACAAACGUUUGCUGACAUUUGUUUAUUCUAGAGAAAGAGAGUGUGAGCGUGACAGGGGAGAGAGGAUCCGAAGCGGUCUCUACGCCCAGCACAGAGCCCGACGCAGGGCUCGAGCUCAUGACCCCGGGAUCAGGACUUGAGCCGAAGCCAAGAGUCAGCAGCUCAACGGCCCGAGCCGGCCCCGCGUCCCAGAGCUCUUGACCGUCUCCCUCGAUGUCUCUUCUCCAGGAUGUCACAGAGUCGGAACCACUGGGGAGACUUUCAGGACUGGCUUCUCUCGCCUGGUAAUAGACCCUUGAGCUCCUCUGUGUCUUUUCACGGCCGGAGAGCUCAUUCCGUUCCCGCACGGAACCGCAUUCUCCUGUCUGGGCGGACCGCCGUUGGCUCUUCCGUUCACCCGGGGAAGGACGUCCUGGCUGCUCCCAGGCCUUGGCAGUGGUGAAGCACGCGGCCGUCCACACCCGUGUGUGGGCUUCCAGGUGCACAUCGGAGCUCGGCCCCUCUGCAUGAGCAUCAGCAGCCUGACCUGCCGGGCCCCAGGGGAGGAGGGCGUUUAAAUUUGAGAAAUUGCCAGACGGUCGUCCACAGUGUGGCGGGCGGUCCUCCCGCCUUCCCCGGCACAACCACCCCUGCCAGCACGGGUGGGGUGAGUGUCGCAGGUUGUGGCCUUUCUAAUGGGCGUGCGGUGUGAUUCCCCUUGUGGUUUUACGGAAUUGGCUUUUAGGGGAUGCGGUGACAUGGAGAG